UGCGGCCGUAACUCCGGUUGAUCCUGCCGGACCCGACUGCUAUCGGGGUGGCACUAAGCCAUGGGAGUCGCACGUCCCUCCGCCGAGGGGCGUGGCGCACGGCUGAGUAAUACGCGGCUAACCUGCCCUCGGGAGGGGGGUAACCCCGGGAAACUGGGACUAAUCCCCCCAUAGACGGGGAGGCCUGGAAGGGUUCCCCGUCGAAAAGGGCGCGUAGGGGUCAUCGCUACGCGCUCGCCCGAGGAUGGGGCCGCGUCCCAUCAGGUAGAUGGCGGGGUAAAGGCCCGCCAUGCCUAUAACGGGUAGGGGCCGUGAGAGCGGGAGCCCCCAGAUGGGCACUGAGACAAGGGCCCAGGCCCUACGGGGCGCACCAGGCGGGAAACCUCCGCAAUGCGGGAAACCGUGACGGGGUCACCCCGAGUGCCCUCCUUUGGGAGGGCUUUUCCCCGCUGUAAACAGGCGGGGGCAAUAAGCGGGGGGCAAGUCUGGUGUCAGCCGCCGCGGUAAUACCAGCCCCGCGAGUGGUCGGGACGG
rnacentral:rRNA from 1 species